rnacentral:rRNA from 1 species
UGCCAGCCGCCGCGGUAAUACGGAGGGAGCGAACGUUGUUCGGAUUUACUGGGCGUAAAGGGCGUAUAGGCGGCUCGGCUAGUCAGAGGUGAAAUGUCGCGGCUCAACCGCGAACCUGCCUUUGAAACUUCCGAGCUUGAGGCCGUGAGAGGAGACUGGAAUUCCUAGUGUAGCGGUGAAAUGCAUAGAUAUUAGGAAGAACACCAGUGGCGAAGGCGAGUCUCUGGCACGGUUCUGACGCUGAGGCGCGAAAGCUAGGGGAGCGAACAGGAUUAGAUA